rnacentral:lncRNA from 1 species
CGUAUGCAGCCUGUCAUGUGAUCGGCGUGCACUCACCACUGCUCCAGGAAGUGGCAGAGAAAGCACUGGGUGCAGAGGGCCUCUUUCUCUUCUCCUCCUUGGACAAAGACCAUGACCCUUUCCUCAGUUCAAACCAUCACAGAGAAACUCACAGGGAUCACACAUCCAGUGGAUUUUGAGGAGCAAGUGACCGAUGACCCUAAUGGAGAGACCCUAACCCUGGAGUCCAAGAUGCAACCUCUGCAGCUUGACAAAAUGAUGAAGAGUAGACCCAGCAAAACACUCGCAUAAUUACUGGGUUUUGCCUUACUGUGAUUUAAGCUAAAGUUAUUUGUAAUCCAGCUCAAGAAUAGAUUACAUCCUACCUUGUAAACGUUUUACUGCUGU